ensembl:ncRNA lncRNA:CR45939 long non-coding RNA:CR45939
UUUACUGUGUGUUGUGUUCCCGUUCGAGUUCGACCUAAUUUCGCUCGAGACCUAAUUUUUGCGUGCGGAAUAGUUUUUCCCGAAAAAGUGAAGCCAGCGAAUAAACAAUAGCUGAAAGUGAGCGAUAGCCAAGAAAGUAAGAGUGAAAGUAAACAAAAGCGAAAAGAAGAACAGCUCUGGCGUUAAUUAUGUGUGUGUACAUACGUAUAUAUUUAAUAUUUCCGAUGCGUCCAUAACGGGAGUGUGUUCUGGUUUCCAAUCGUCGCCCGCGCCCCCGUCAUUGCCUAUCCGUUUACCAAACCCCAAUUUUGGUGUGCAAUUGUGUAUAAAAAUUAACACAAAGUGGGAAGAUAGCGUUGUGUCAUAGAAUUGGAGCAGAAGCAAAAACAAGGCAAAAUUAGCAAAAGCCAAGCGGAAAAACAACAACACAGAGUGCCCAGUGGAACCCCAGUACAUGUGUGUAUAUAUGUAUGUGCGGUGCGAGCGUGUCAGUGUGUGCGUAGCAGGAAUUGCAAUUUAUAGUUGUUGUUUCUGAGAGCUUUCGCUUGUUGCGCGCGUGCGACGAUUGUGCAAGAAGUUCUUGGUGUGCGUUCGAAAUCGGGAAGAGGAAAUCGCCGAGAAUAGAGGAAGAGUAAAUGGCAAUAAAUGCAAAAUAAAUAAAAGAAAUAAAUAAAAAAAAAUAUAAAUAAAUUGCCAAAUGCGUUUGGCGUCGCGUGUGUGUGCGUGUUCUGAAAUAUGCUGAAAGAGCUUUCGGAGAGCGAGAGCAAAAGAGAACGAGACGCCGAGAGAUGCGAUCGGGAGAAAUAGCAACAACAACAACAACGGCAACAGCGACUACGAUCGGCGAAAUGAAUCACACACAAGCUUUGUUUUGCGAAUUAUAAAUUCGCGUUCCGUUCUCCACACAUGCGAAUUCCCACACUGAGAGCGAGACAGAGACAGCGAGAGAGAGGGAGACCAGCUACGGCUACAAAAACAGAAACAGCAAGAAGACCAAGACAUAAUAAUAGAACUUUUGCUUUCGCUUCCAACUGGUUUUUGUAUACAUAAAAAGCGAGAGGGGAAGAGACGGAGAAAGAGAGAGACGGACAGCUUCCAGCGCUUCUUCUUCUUCCGCGAUCUUCGUCUUGGAAUUCAUGGAACCGGGCGCAUGCGCAACACACAGAACUACAAAAGGAAAAACAACGACGUCAGCUGCAUGAAAGGUCUUUAAAGCAAUUAUAAACUUACAACUACUAUCGUUACCUGCCAUUAAGAAUCAACAAAACAAAUACCACACAUCACAACGAAACGUACAAAAAAUAAAAGUUAAAUUAUAUUAUUCAUAAAAUGGAUACCUUCAAUGUACCUAUGCUGGCGGAGAGCAGCAACACCAACUAUGCAACAGAAGCUACCAGCAAUCAUCACCACCUGCAACAUCAGCAUCAGCAGCAACAUUCACAUCAGCAGCAGCAGCAGCAGCAACUCCUAAUGCCCCAUCAUCACAAGGAUCAAAUGCUGGCGGCGGGCAGUUCGCCCAUGCUGCCAUUCUAUUCACACUUGCAGUUGCAACAGAAGGAUGCAACUGCAACAAUAGGACCUGCAGCAGCAGCAGCAGCAGUUGAGGCGGCAACAACAUCGGCAAAUGCCGAUAACUUCAGUUCAUUGCAAACGAUCGAUGCCAGUCAACUGGAUGGAGGCAUCUCCUUGAGCGGCUUGUGCGAUCGUUUCUUUGUGGCCAGUCCAAAUCCCCACAGCAAUAGCAACAUGACACUAAUGGGCACUGCCACAGCUGCAACAACUACCACUACCAACAACAACAAUAAUAACAACACUAACAAUAACAAUAACAACAACGUGGAGGCUAAGACAGUGAGGCCAUCGAACGGCAAUUCGGUGAUCAUCGAAUCUGUGACGAUGCCAUCGUUUGCCAAUAUUCUAUUUCCCACCCAUCGCAGCGCCAACGAGUGCAUUGAUCCCGCCCUGUUGCAAAAGAAUCCCCAAAAUCCAAAUGGCAACAACAGUAGCAUAAUUGUGCCGCCCGUCGAAUAUCAUCAAUUGAAACCACUUGAAGUCAAUUCGUCGACUUCCGUUUCCACCAGCAACUUCCUGUCCUCCACAACGGCCCAAUUGUUGGACUUUGAGGUGCAGGUGGGCAAGGAUGAUGGCCACAUUAGCACCACUACGACCACAGGGCCGGGCUCUGGAUCGGCAUCGGGUUCAGGAUCGGGAUCGGGAUCGGGAUCAGGAUCGAUUGCACGCACAAUAGGCACUGCAACGCCCACAACGACAACAUCCAUGAGCAACACUGCCAAUCCGACGAGGAGCUCAUUGCACAGUAUUGAGGAGCUGGCCGCCAGUUCCUGUGCCCCGAGAGCAGCGUCUCCCAACAGCAACCACACUAGCAGUGCCAGCACCACUCCGCAGCAGCAGCAGCAGCAGCAGCAUCACAUGCAAAGCGGCAACCACAGUGGCUCCAAUCUCAGCAGCGACGAUGAGUCCAUGUCCGAGGAUGAGUUCGGUCUGGAAAUCGACGAUAACGGAGUAUGAGUCUAUAAGGAAUCGAAUCUAUUGUGAGGAGGACCCACUGUACCAAGCCCACACUCACGUACAUGCUUACGUAUAGGCCCGAUUUCCGCUCUUUUGAGAUCCCAACACACGCCCCACAAAAUUUCCCAUUGACCCAUUAACAUGGAAACCAGCCACAGAAAGCGAAACAGAAGCACACAAGAAACAGACCCCCACAUAAAUAUGUACAUAAAACAUACAUACAAACAUACAUCCAUACGUAUGCGUGUACAAUAAAAAUAGAGUUUGGAACCUA